rnacentral:tRNA from 1 species
GCGGGCGUGGCGGAAUUGGCAGACGCGCCAGAUUUAGGUUCUGGUGCCGACAGGCGUAUGAGUUCAAGUCUCUUCGCCCGCA